rnacentral:lncRNA from 1 species
UUCAAAACACUCACUCACAAAAUGGCCAAGACAUCAAUCAAUUUGGCUUUCUUUUGCAUCAUUUUCCUGAUUUCAUUUGGUAAUUAUCUUCUUCUUUUAUUAAGUAGUUGUGCUUUUUGUUUUAGCAAAAUUUUGAUUAUAAACUGGUAUAUUCUUCUAUAGGUUCACCACUUAUUUCAAAGGUGAAGGUGAUGGGGACCUCAAGGGGAUCAACAUCAACUGAAUACAUGAGUGGAGAUGUGCAGAUCAAAUACAAAUUACCUUGCGAUGCCGACAAAGAUUGUGAAGGCAUAUGUCCAGUUUUUUGUAAAAAUCAUUUUUGUAACCCACAACAUGGUUGUGCAUGUACGAAAUGUUAAGAUUUGAAAAGCAAAUUAUACUGCUAGGAAGAAAAAUGACUUGAAAAAGAAGAAACCAAGAUUCACUUGUCAAUUAUAUAUUUUGAG